rnacentral:rRNA from 1 species
UGGGGAAUAUUGCACAAUGGGCGCAAGCCUGAUGCAGCCAUGCCGCGUGUAUGAAGAAGGCCUUCGGGUUGUAAAGUACUUUCAGCGGGGGGGAAGGUGUUGAGGUUAAUAACCUCAGCAAUUGAGGUUACCCGCAGAAGAAGCACCGGCUAACUCCGUGCCAGCAGCCGCGGUAAUACGGAGGGUGCAAGCGUUAAUCGGAAUUACUGGGCGUAAAGCGCACGCAGGCGGUCUGUCAAGUCGGAUGUGAAAUCCCCGGGCUCAACCUGGGAACUGCAUUCGAAACUGGCAGGCUAGAGUCUUGUAGAGGGGGGUAGAAUUCCAGGUGUAGCGGUGAAAUGCGUAGAGAUCUGGAGGAAUACCGGUGGCGAAGGCGGCCCCCUGGACAAAGACUGACGCUCAGGUGCGAGAGCGUGGGGAGCAAACA